GACAGAGGUGCCAAGCGUUAGGCGGAAUCACUGGGCUUAAAGCGUGUGUAGGUGGAUGCCUAAGUACCUUGUGAAAUCCCACGGCUUAACCGUGGAACUGCUCGGUAUACUGGGUGUCUUGAGCCACUUAGGGGCUACCGGAACAAAUGGUGGAGCGGUGAAAUGCGUAGAUAUCAUUUGGAACGCCAAUGGUGAAAACAGGUAGCUGGGAGUGUGCUGACACUGAGACACGAAAGCCAGGGGAGCGAACGGG
rnacentral:rRNA from 1 species